CUACGGGAGGCAGCAGUAGGGAAUUUUCGGCAAUGGGCGAAAGCCUGACCGAGCAACGCCGCGUGAGGGAAGAAGGUCUUCGGAUCGUAAACCUUUGUCUAGAGGGAAGAUAAUGACGGUACCUCUGGAGGAAGCCACGGCUAACUACGUGCCAGCAGCCGCGGUAAUACGUAGGUGGCAAGCGUUGUCCGGAAUUACUGGGCGUAAAGGGCGUGUAGGCGGCCUUCUAAGUCAGGCGUGAAAUAUCAGGGCUUAACCUUGAGAUUGCGUUUGAAACUGGAGGGCUUGAGGAUCGGAGAGGGCAGUGGAAUUCCCAGUGUAGCGGUGAAAUGCGUAGAUAUUGGGAGGAACACCAGUGGCGAAGGCGGCUGCCUGGACGACACCUGACGCUGAGGCGCGAAAGCUAGGGGAGCAAACGGGAUUAGAUACCCCGGUAGA
rnacentral:rRNA from 1 species